rnacentral:rRNA from 1 species
ACGCAGCGAAAUGCGAUACGUAGUGUGAAUUGCAGAAUUCCGCGAACCAUGGAGAUCUUGAACGCACUUGGCGCCCGAGGCUUUGGCCGAGGGCACGUCCGUCUGAGCGUCA